rnacentral:rRNA from 1 species
GAUGAACGCUGGCGGCGUGCCUAACACAUGCAAGUCGAGCGAUUCUCUUCGGAGAAGAGCGGCGGACGGGUGAGUAACGCGUGGGUAACCUGCCCUGUACACACGGAUAACAUACCGAAAGGUAUGCUAAUACGAGAUAAUAUGCUUUUAUCGCAUGAUAGAAGUAUCAAAGCUCCGGCGGUACAGGAUGGACCCGCGUCUGAUUAACUAGUUGGUAAGGUAACGGCUUACCAAGGCGACGAUCAGUAGCCGACCUGAGAGGGUGAUCGGCCAAAUUGGAACUGAGACACGGUCCAAACUCCUACGGGAGGCAGCAGUGGGGAAUAUUGCACAAUGGGCGAAAGCCUGAUGCAGCAACGCCGCGUGAGCGAUGAAGGCCUUCGGGUCGUAAAGCUCUGUCCUCAAGGAAGACAAUGACGGUACUUGAGGAGGAAGCCCCGGCUAACUACGUGCCAGCAGCCGCCGCGG